AGAGUUUGAUCCUGGCUCAGAACGAACGCUGGCGGCAGGCCUAACACAUGCAAGUCGAGCGCACUCUUCGGAGUGAGCGGCGGACGGGUUAGUAACGCGUGGGAACGUACCCAGAUCUAAGGAAUAGCCACUGGAAACGGUGAGUAAUACCUUAUACGCCCUUCGGGGGAAAGAUUUAUCGGAUUUGGAUCGGCCCGCGUUAGAUUAGAUAGUUGGUGGGGUAACGGCCUACCAAGUCUACGAUCUAUAGCUGGUUUUAGAGGAUGAUCAGCAACACUGGGACUGAGACACGGCCCAGACUCCUACGGGAGGCAGCAGUGGGGAAUCUUGGACAAUGGGGGCAACCCUGAUCCAGCCAUGCCGCGUGAGUGAUGAAGGCCUUAGGGUCGUAAAGCUC
rnacentral:rRNA from 1 species